ensembl:lncRNA LINC00702 long intergenic non-protein coding RNA 702
AUUCCUAAGAUAGUAUGAGAAAGUUCUGAUCUUGACAGUUCACGUAACAUUCAAUCAAUUAUACCAUUGCUCUAUCUCUAAAGUUUUCUUUUUCUCCUUUUCUCAGUGUCUUACCAAGAAUGAAAGGCAACCUAUGUAAAAACUAUGGGCUUUCUAGUAUAAAUAAAAACUACUCAUCUCCAGAAAAUAAACAAUGACUGCUAAGAUGAUUGAAAAAAGAAAGGAGAAGAAAGUAGCUUGUAAAAGCGUGUGAAAUGCAUUCACGUUGGAAUCUCCUACAGGCACUUCAGGUCUUCAGACUGUAAACAUUUUAAGUGUGAUUGCUGUGAAUGAAGGAAACCCAGAGCCAUCAUGACAAGCCUAAACUCAAAGGGGACUGAUUUCUUCUACACUGAAUGUUUCAUUAGUGACAGGGCCCAGAUAAUAAAGAAUUGUGCUCACUUCCUGUGAGUGAUGGCUUUCCCUCAAUUGUAUGCUGAGUAACAUUUACAGUAUUCAUUUUUAAGCACCCAUCUUCCUGGGAGCCCUAUUUCCCCUAAGCUUUCAAUUGAUCCUCCUAAGAGCAGAGAUCACUUAGGCACUGAGCUAUGCAGCUGCUGCCUGAGUCUCCUGGACGCCUGCCCUCACCUCCAGCCACAUGAAAAACAUUCAAGCUUUAACUUCAGAAAUGUUCUCUAACCCACUCCCAGACACCCAACUGAUUAAAUCAUAGAUUAGAGGAAAAAAUUCUUGCCUGAAAUUGUCAUCUUGCACGUAUGCUGAUGUCCAGAAGGACACAUCCUGGUGGGAAGUGACUGCAUGUUUUGUUCAUAUUACAAGUCCUGUUGACAAAAGAGAAUAAUACAGGUGUCCUCCUGAAACUGUCACCACAGUGACCUUCCUCAGUCAAAAAGAAAUAUAAAUAUUAUUGUGUUUCUCGUGUCUGAGGCACCUCUGAAAGCAUUUAUCUUUUCAGAGAGUUCAGCACUUCAUCUCACGGGUUAAUUAAACCAACCUGUAGUGGCAAAGUUUAGUGGUAGUGAAAAUAAACAUAAUCCUCUUUCUGUUGCCCAACCUUUCAGUUUCAUUUUGUAAUUUUUCAAUACAGGGGCACAAUAAGUGAUAAUCCUGGAUUCCAAAUGAUUUCCACUUCUUUCUCUGCCACCUUCCCUGCCCCAACACCUGCCAUCCCUCAUUUACACAAUUCAAGUAAUCAAGGGGCAGUUUGGCUCCCUUUUUCUGGAGGCAAACUUUUGCAGAGUUUUAACUUACUCAGUGGGAAGAAAAGCCCCCAAAACACUGAAGCAUACCAAGCAAAUAAAUAAAUAAAUGCACAAAGGCUCCCUGCGGUUGUCUGACGAGGAUACUGGAGCAAGCAGCCUGAAGAACAAACGUCUGACUGUUGAAACAGCGAGACAGGAAUAAACCCAUGGGGCCACAUCUGGGAGUGUGAGUGUGUGAAUGGAACUAAGCUGGUCUCCCACACAACAGGAAUUCCACCAAAAGUAUGCGCUCUGUAUGGGAGGACAGAAAAAAAAUGUGUUUAAAAUAUCACUAAGGAAACCCAGAUACAUUAUCUCUGCCAGACUACAGAAGACAGUACAGUUAGUGCUUGUCUCAAAAUGACAGAAACAGAGAACAUGCUUUGAUGAUGUCGAAGAUGCAGGAAAAUAGAAAAAUAAAAACGGUGGAAAGAUUUUUUUUUAAUGCCCUAAAAUGAGCAAGACGCCUCCCUUUU